AUACAAUCUCGAGGCAGAGGCCGGGUGAGGUUUGCAUAAGUGAUAUCCUUAAAAAAGGGGGAGACAGAGAAAGGAGCCUGGGAGUCUGCCCGUGGCACGGAGCAUGGAAGGCUG
rnacentral:lncRNA from 1 species